GUCUGCAACCCGACUACAUGAAGCUGGAAUCGCUAGUAAUCGCGAAUCAGAAUGUCGCGGUGAAUACGUUCCCGGGUCUUGUACACACCGCCCGUCACACCAUGGGAGUCGGAAAUGCCCAAAGUCAGUGACCUAACCGAAAGGGAGGAGCUGCCGAAGGUGGAGCCGGUAACUGGGGUGAAGUCGUAACAAGGUAGC
rnacentral:rRNA from 1 species